rnacentral:rRNA from 1 species
UACGUAUGGAGCAAGCGUUAUCCGGAUUUACUGGGUGUAAAGGGAGCGUAGGCGGUGCGGCAAGUCUGAUGUGAAAUUCCGGGGCUCAACCCCGGGGCUGCAUUGGAAACUGUCGGACUGGAGUGUCGGAGAGGUAAGUGGAAUUCCUAGUGUAGCGGUGAAAUGCGUAGAUAUUAGGAGGAACACCAGUGGCGAAGGCGGCUUACUGGACGACAACUGACGCUGAGGCUCGAAAGCGUGGGGAGCAAACAGG